GCGAGGGUGGCGGAAUGGCAGACGCGCUAGACUUAGGAUCUAGUGGGAGUUCCCGUGUGGGUUCAAAUCCCACCCCUCGCA
rnacentral:tRNA from 1 species